rnacentral:rRNA from 1 species
GACGAACGCUGGCGGCGUGCUUAACACAUGCAAGUCGAACGGAAAGGCCCUGCUUUUGUGGGGUGCUCGAGUGGCGAAAGGGUGAGUAACACGUGAGUAGCCUGCCCUUGACUUUGGGAUAACUUCAGGAAACUGGGGCGAAUACCGGAUAGGAGCUCCUGCUGCAUGGUGGGGGUUGGAAAGUUUCGGCGGUUGGGGAUGGACUCGCGGCUUAGCAGCGUGUUGGUGGGGUAGUGGCGUACAAAGGCUUUGACGGGUAGCCGGCCUGAGAGGGUGACCGGCCCCAUUGGGACUGAGAUACGGCCCAGACUCCUACGGGAGGCAGCAGUGGGGAAUAUUGCACAAUGGGCGGAAGCCUGAUGCAGCAACGCCGCGUGCGGGAUGACGGCCUUCGGGUUGUAAACCGCUUUCGCCUGUGACGAAGCGUGAGUGACGGUAAUGGGUAAAGAAGCACCGGCUAACUACGUG